GCUGUGUGUGAUUGGGUGCUGUGUUUGCGUGAGGGUGCCAUGUGUGUUUGAGGAAGCUGUGUGUGUCAGGGGUGCAGUGUGUGUGUGUGUUGGUGUUGUAAGUAUUAGGGGUGCAGUGUGUGUGUGCUGUGCGUGUCAGGGGUGCAGUGAGUGUGUGCUAUGCGUGUCAGGGGUGCAGUGUGUGUGUGUGUGUGUGUGUGUGAGGGUGCUGUAAGUGUUAGGGGUGCAGUGUGUG